GGGAUACACUUUGGAAACAGGUGCUAAUACCGUAUAACACUAUUUUCCGCAUGGAAGAAAGUUGAAAGGCGCUUUUGCGUCACUGAUGGAUGGACCCGCGGUGCAUUAGCUAGUUGGUGAGGUAACGGCUCACCAAGGCCACGAUGCAUAGCCGACCUGAGAGGGUGAUCGGCCACACUGGGACUGAGACACGGCCCAGACUCCUACGGGAGGCAGCAGUAGGGAAUCUUCGGCAAUGGACGAAAGUCUGACCGAGCAACGCCGCGUGAGUGAAGAAGGUUUUCGGAUCGUAAAACUCUGUUGUUAGAGAAGAACAAGGAUGAGAGUAGAACGUUCAUCCCUUGACGGUAUCUAACCAGAAAGCCACGGCUAACUACGUGCCAGCAGCCGCGGUAAUACGUAGGUGGCAAGCGUUGUCCGGAUUUAUUGGGCGUAAAGCGAGCGCAGGCGGUUUCUUAAGUCUGAUGUGAAAGCCCCCGGCUCAACCGGGGAGGGUCAUUGGAAACUGGGAGACUUGAGUGCAGAAGAGGAGAGUGGAAUUCCAUGUGUAGCGGUGAAAUGCGUAGAUAUAUGGAGGAACACCAGUGGCGAAGGCGGCUCUCUGGUCUGUAACUGACGCUGAGGCUCGAAAGCGUGGGGAGCGAACAGGAUUAGAUACCCUGGUAGUCCACGCCGUAAACGAUGAGUGCUAAGUGUUGGAGGGUUUCCGCCCUUCAGUGCUGCAGCA
rnacentral:rRNA from 1 species